rnacentral:rRNA from 1 species
AUUGAACGCUGGCGGCAUGCUUUACACAUGCAAGUCGAGCGGUAACAGGCCUUCGGGUGCUGACGAGUGGCGAACGGGUGAGUAAUGCAUCGGAACGUACCCAGAGGUGGGGGAUAACGCAGCGAAAGCUGUGCUAAUACCGCAUGUGAUCUGAGGAUGAAAGCGGGGGACCGAGCAGCAAUGUUUGGCCUCGCGCCUUUGGAGCGGCCGAUGUCGGAUUAGCUAGUUGGUGGGGUAAAGGCCUACCAAGGCGACGAUCCGUAGCUGGUCUGAGAGGACGACCAGCCACACUGGGACUGAGACACGGCCAAGACUACUACGGGAGGCAGCAGUGGGGAAUUUUGGACAAUGGGCGAAAGCAUGAUACAGCAAUGCCGCGUGCGGGAAGAAGGCCUUCGGGUUGUAAACCGCUUUUGGCAGGAACGAAACGGUGUCCGCUAAUACCGGGCGCUAAUGACGGUACCUGCAGAAUAAGCACCGGCUAACUACGUG